GCUCACACCUGCCUGCUUAACGAGCUCUCUCUCACUCUGCCAUGGUUAAAAUGUUAGAUUGUAGUAAGAUUAACUUUUUCAAUAGUACAAUAAGACAGAUUUGACAGGGUUUUGCCACAGAUUAAUAGUUUUUCAGUAGUUAGUAUAUGCCAACUAAGUAGAGCAUUGUGAUUGGCACAAAGGUUUUUCAGAUCUGGGCAGUUGGAGUCAGUUGAUGACUUCAAAAUCAUCCUUUCUGACUGGAUAAUUAAAGCUCUCAGCAUCUAUCGGUCUGUAGUUAAUUUUCCCACCUUUUAACUAACGUUUAACUAAUCUAAUCUCAUUUAAUGUCUUUGUUUAUAGUCUGUAUAGUUUAUCUCCCCACGAAUACACUCAAAGUAGUCUUAAAAUAAAACCCACAAAACAGUUCAAGAUUUAAUACUUUUUAUUUGCUCAUUUAAUGCCAGUUGCCCUGUUUUUCUGUAUGUCACUCAUUCGCUUAUACUUGGGCAAAAAGGACCAAUUUGUACACUAGUAUAGUGUAUUUUUUCCCUCUAUCUCUCUAUGUCUGUCACACACAGAGACCAACACACAGACAUGUAUAUGCUCAUUAUUGCUGUUCAAACUGAUGGUCAAAUUUCCAAGCACCACCUGAACGCCUCAUCUGUUUUUAACCUAUCACUGGACCAACUGUCGUCAUUCCGCUUUGCUCUCUGCUGUGGAACCUGACUGACACUGUGCUUUGCCUGAGUGUGUAGAAGAAGAAGAACAAGGACCAGAUCUCCAGUCUUCUCUCUCACAUCCCAACCCCCCAACCCCUCUAUCCUCUGUCCUGCUCCACCUAUUGUCUCUGCCUUCUUUCCAUCUGUAUUUCACUCUGUGGUUUGUGAGAAAUUUUGCCAAACCAACAAUCCUUUUGCGGUUUGAUUUAAAGCCGUGUCUCUCCUGCUCUGUCUGUUCUCUCUGCUAAAUUUUCUCUCUACCUGUUUUUCACUCUUGGCUUGCUGCUGAAAAACGCCAAGCGACACAGUCCUCCUGUGUCUUCUCCAAUCUUCACAUGUAAGAUCCAACAGUGUGAGGCACAUAGCAGCCAGAAACUGUAAUGCCACAGAACAGAGAGGCUUCAUCAUCACCAUCUUCAUCACCGUACGAUCAGAGCGUGAGACUUCACAUCUGGAGCACAGGAGACAUUCUGUGAUAAGUCCUCCUUCUAGCUUGUCCCACAAGCAGUCGAGCUGAGACACUCAGGACUGAACAGACUGCACAGUUUCUGUGACUGAGCCUCCAAAACACCUUCUUUGAAACCACUCAUGAUAGAAGGGCUUUAUAUUUGCAGCAGCACUACUACAGUUGGCAGGAAUGUUGCUGCAGGAAAACAUCCCUGGAGAUCACCAUCAUUGUCAGACUGACUGUGCCUCCUCUGUGCAGUGUCAAGAUCCUCCCUAAAUGAGUGUUUCUCAGCUAUCCUGCUUCUGUGCUGCUUGCCACACAUCAAACUCUGGCCGGAUGACAGGGAGGAUCCACUCUGAAGUCACUGGACAUUAUGAGGAUCAUAUGGGACUUCAUAGUUUCACAGUAACAUUGUGCUCUGUGAUUACAGGUUUUAAAUGGAUACAAUGACUGCCUCUCUCUGAUCAACAGGCUAAAGGAUUGUUUUCAUUGUUAGUGCUCUGUACAAUGUAUGCUUAUUUAGUAUUUCAUCACAGAGCAAACCUUUAUUUAUUUAACAUAUUUUUAUUUUGUUUUAAUGUUGAAUUAACUGUAGGGAUUUUUUUAAGUGGGCACUCGGGAUGUCAUAUGACCAGAAAUGUGGUAACUGGAAUUCAACAGUAUGGAAGAAAAAAUCUGCUAAGAACAAAACACACACAAAACCCCCCAAGAAAAUUCAAAUUCAUUCCAUGUAAUCCAAUCUAAAACAUUUUAAACUGCUGAACAGCAACACAAACAGUGUUAAAAAACAGUGUUAACAGAAUGAUUAUGAUGAGUUUGUACCAAAGUUUCAGGUCACAUGGCACACCUAGUGUGUAGUGUGGGGUAUCAGCUGGUAAGUAUAGGUUUUUUCAUAUUUGUGUCCUUAGAGUUCAGAUAGAUAAAGACUUGUGUAUAAUAAUUAGUCAUAAGCACAACUCAAAGUCAGGGACUAACUAAAUUUGGGACUUUGUGUCUGAGCCCAGGUUAAAACACUGUGUAAAAAAGCAUUUAGCGGCAUGGCUGAACAAUGCUGUAAACUAUUGAUACUUAUUUAUCCAUGUUCACAAAAAGGACUAAUGUUUUUAUUUGAUUAUGAUGUAUAUAAUACCGGUACUAUUAAACAUGAUAUACAUAUGUGUAUAUGUCUGAAAAACAUUAUGCUGUAUAUGAAAGUUUGUAUUUUCUCCAG